GGGAAAACAAAUUUGAGCCGAGAUAAUACUAAACAAUGGCAUAUGUCUGACCCUUUAGCUGUGUGGAAUUAAGUGGGCCAAUUGGUGAAAUUGAAAUUUUGAAGUUUUAUCCAGGUGCCCCAAGGAUGUUUAGACACCAAUGAUAUUUAAUGUGCCUGGUGGUAUGUGGCACAGAAAACUCUCUGCUGUCGAUCCUUGAGUUGUGGAACUCCCCGUGUCUACAAAAGACUGCAAGCACCGCACAGGGAAUGAUCUUGCCUCUUUGUGUUAGAAGAGCAUCUCCAACACCCAGCAUACUGCCUGAACACUGUGGCCAGAUACUUUCUUCUCCUUGCUACUGCUUCCAGCUCCUCCCACUGUCACUGAACACCAGGAUGCAGCUGGUGCCCAGUCAGAGCUCCCGUGUGCUCCCUGGGGCCACAGCAGUGACUGCCAUUCUCUCUUCAAGACGCCUGGGAGGUGGGCAAAGCUGUUGCUCAGAUUUGAGUGUUCUGCUGUACACCACAGGAAUCCCUCACGGACAGAUGCAGCAUGGUUUUCUACAUGGAGGAAGAUUUGUUCUUGGAUGAUCUAUGGCAAUAUUUACAUUAGUCUCUGCUAGAGAAAGUGCAUGGAUUUCUUCAACCCACAGUGGAAACUGCUACAUAAUUUCUUGCCUCUAUACAUGCCUCCCACCAACUUCAUUUUUCAGGAUAUAAUAGAAUACUAUCUACCCACUUCAUUUUUACUUAAUUUAAUAACAAUUUCACCGAGCAAUUGAGAACUUUGUGUCAGGCAUAGAUGUCACUAUAUGGGUUUGUCUUUUAAUUCCUAAAGUGGCCUUAUGAGACAGGCUCUAUUACUACCUUUUUGUAUGGAUGAUGAGCAGCUUGCCUAGGUUCAUGCUGCUAGGAAGUGGCCAACAAAGAUUUGAAUCCAGAAUCUGUGCUAUUGACUCUGACACAUUAUUAUUAUUAUAUAACUUUGAUGACAUUGAUAGGCAUGGUGGUCUUCAAAUAAAUGUACAAAGGAUGUGAUGGAAGUGUGGGAGUGAGUAGAUCUGACAGCCUUAGGAAGUAGCCCACACAGUUUAGGCAGCCUUCCAUACUCCUGGUUAGGCAAAGCCCAGGUUUCUGAAAUAUAGGUAACCAUUGAGUCAGGGAGUGUCUCCUAGCCUCUUCCUGUCAAGAGCUGCCAGAUCCACUGUUCUCUCCCAAGCCUAUCUAAAGUUUAGUAAGUGAGAAGACCUCCUGGGGUUUGACAAAGUGGCAACCAAUAGGCUUAGGUACAACACUACUGAAACUGCAUACCCUUUUCUAUUUUUUUAUUUUGUUUUUAUGAUUGUUUCAAAGAAGAGUUGAGAGAAAGUAAAAGAGAUGCUACCAGCCAACCCAUCAUCCAUCUUAACCUAGAUGUUUCACAUUUGGAAUUUUAUACAUAUCAAUUGAAACCUCUAAGGAAAUACUAAACUAACAUCUGUUGCCAAUCCUCCUCUUUUAGCUUGAGGAAGACUGUCACUGAGCUAACAUCUGUACCAAUCUUCCUCCACUUUAUGUGGGAUGUCACCUCAGCAUGGCUUGACGAAUGGUGCUAGGUCUGCGCCCAGGAUCCAAACCUGUGAACCCUGGGCCACCAAAGCAGAGCAUGCAAACUUACCCCUAUGCCACCAGGCCGACCCCCACCCUAUGUCUUUUGAUUGGAGCAUUUAGUCCACUUACAUCUAAAGUAACAAGUGAUAAGUAUGUACUUAUUGCCAUUUUGUUACUUUUUUUCUGGAUGUUUUUGUAGUUUUGUCCAUUCCUUUCUUCUUCUCUUGCUCUCUUCCCUUGUGAUUUAAUGACUUUCUUUAGUUUAUCUUUGGGUUUGUUUCUCUUUAUUUUUUGUGUAUUUAUUAUAGGUUUCUGGUUUGUGGUUCCCAUGAGGUUUAUAAAUAAUAACCUAUGUAUAUAGCAAUCUAUAUUAAGUUGAUGGUCCCUUAAGUUUGACCUCAUACUAAAAGCUCUACACUUUUACUCCCCCCUAUGAUUUAUGUUUUAGAAUUCAUAUUUUACCUCUUUUAAUUUUGUGUGUCCCUUACUCUUUUAUUGUAGAUACAGAUGAUUUUAGUACUUUUGUCUUUUGACCUUCAUACUAGCUUUUUAGGUGGUUAAUCCACUACAUUUAUUAUACAUUUGCCUUUACCAGUGAUACUUUUUCUUUGGUAAUUUUCUUAUUUCUAUUUGUGGCCUUUUCUUUUCCACUUAAAGAAGUCCCUUUAACAUUUCUUGUAAGGCCAGUUUAGAGGUGAUGAACUUCUUUAGUUUUUGCCUGUCUGGAAAACACUUUAUCUCUCCUUCCUUUCUGAAUGAUAACCUUGCUGGGUAGAGUAUUCUUGGUGUUAGGUUUUUUCCUUUCAGCACUUUAAAUAU
ensembl:lncRNA